rnacentral:rRNA from 1 species
GACGAACGCUGGCGGCGUGCCUAACACAUGCAAGUCGAACGGGGUUAUUAUGGAAGUUCCUUCGGGGACGGAAGUUUUAACUUAGUGGCGAACGGGUGAGUAACGCGUGAGAAACCUGCCUUUCAGUGGGGGACAACAGUUGGAAACGACUGCUAAUACCGCAUAAUGUUUCGAGAGGGCAUCCUUUUGAAACCAAAGCUUUAUGUGCUGAAAGAUGGUCUCGCGUCUGAUUAGCUAGUUGGCGGGGUAACGGCCCACCAAGGCUACGAUCAGUAGGGGUUCUGAGAGGAAGGUCCCCACAUUGGAACUGAGACACGGUCCAAACUCCUACGGGAGGCAGCAGUGAGGAAUAUUGGUCAAUGGACGAGAGUCUGAACCAGCCAUGUCGCGUGAAGGACGACGGUCCUAUGGAUUGUAAACUUCUUUAUAUGGAAUAAAGUGUGGGACGUGUCCCAUUUUGUAUGUACCAUUAUGAAUAAGCAUCGGCUAACUCCGUG